UACAGAGGGGGCAAGCGUUGUUCGGAAUUACUGGGCGUAAAGGGCGCGUAGGCGGCCUUCUAAGUCGAACGUGAAAUCCCCGGGCUCAACCCGGGAACUGCGUCCGAUACUGGAAGGCUUGAAUCCGGGAGAGGGAUGCGGAAUUCCAGGUGUAGCGGUGAAAUGCGCAGAGUAUCAGGAGGAACACCGGUGGCGAAGGCGGG
rnacentral:rRNA from 1 species